rnacentral:rRNA from 1 species
GACGAACGCUGGCGGCGUGCUUAACACAUGCAAGUCGAACGGAAAGGCCCUGCUUUUGUGGGGUGCUCGAGUGGCGAACGGGUGAGUAACACGUGAGUAACCUGCCCUUGACUUUGGGAUAACUUCAGGAAACUGGGGCUAAUACCGGAUAGGAGCUCCCGCUGCAAGGUGGGGGUUGGAAAGUUUCGGCGGUCGGGGAUGGACUCGCGGCUUAUCAGCUUGUUGGUGGGGUAGUGGCUUACCAAGGCUGUGACGGGUAGCCGGCAUGAGAGGGUGAACGGCCACAUUGGGACUGAGAGACGGCCCAGACUCCUACGGGAGGCAGCAGUGGGGAAUAUUGCACAGUGGGCGGAAGCCUGAUGCAGCAACGCCGCGUGCGGGAUGACGGCCUUCGGGUUGUAAACCGCUUUCGCCUGUGACGAAGCGUGAGUGACGGUAAUGGGUAAAGAAGCACCGGCUAACUACGUG